UACGUAGGCAGCAAGCGUUGUUCGGAGUUACUGGGUGUAAAGGGUGCGUAGGCGGUUGUUUAAGUUUGGUGUGAAAUCUCCCGGCUCAACUGGGAGGGUGCGCCGAAUACUGAAUGACUAGAGUGCGGGAGAGGAGAGUGGAAUUCCUGGUGUAGCGGUGAAAUGCGUAGAUAUCAGGAGGAACACCGGUGGUGUAGACGGCUCUCUGGACCGUAACUGACGCUGAGGCACGAAAGCGUGGGUAGCAAACAGG
rnacentral:rRNA from 1 species